UGGCAGCCUGUAGGUUUGUAUGGAAAACAAGUAUGGCACAGUGAAAAAAAUCCUUCUCUCACCCUACAGAUACCUGUACGGAGAGCUUGGGAGGCUUUUCCAUAGACUCAUUGUCAAGUGAAAGUUAAGCCCCCACUCACUGGGAAGCGAAGGGUGAAGAAAUAAGAUACUACAUGGCUCUGCUUUUUAGUGCAUGGAUCAGAGACACAUCUAUGAACAACUGCCUACGCAAAUUGAUUACUGGGCAAUAUCAUUUCUCAGUUUUUAUGGGUAAAUGAGUGCUUCUCGUCAUGGACCUAACUUGUGCAUCAAUUUAGUUCCAUUAACUUGCUUUGGAUUCAUGGAAAUUCUGAACAGAGAUGUGAGAAUGACUACAAUUUGAGGUAUCUGUUAAAUACAGCAACAUGACAUCACAAGGAUUGUUUUUGAGUCUUCUGAAUGAGAGAUAAUAAAAUGGUGAAAUCUUAGGACUGGAAUAUCAAGGAAGAAAUAGAGACAACCAUGGUUUCCAGACUCUUUUAUUGGAGAAUAAUUCAUUUGUUGGUUUGUUUGACAGAAAUGGGAUUAUUUGAAGAGAUCAGCACAAGGAAUAAUGGUUUAUAACUUUUCUGAGAUCAGGACUGUAUGUGAAAACAGAGCCAUCCUGAACACUAUGAAGAAAUAUUUCUUUCAUUCAAAGGAAAACAAAGUAGAAGGAUUCAGGAAAGGAUAGAAAACUCAGUGGUGUUGAGGAGUAUGUAAAUACCUUAGGCCUUUAAGGAAAUUCUACUGAAAUCAACAUAACUAAGGUAAAACUUUUCUUUUUAAAAUCUGUCUGUUUUUCAAAAUAUAAGAAUCAGAACAUCUUUUAAUUUUAAUUUUUUUUCAAGUUUUUAUUUAAAUUCAUGUUAGUUAACAUAGAGUGUAACAUUAGUUUCAGGCGUAGAAUCUAGUGAUUCAUCACUUACAUACAACACCCGUUGCUCAUCACAAAUAGAUUUGGCACAUCUUAACUAAUUAUUCAUUUUUAAAAAUUCUUAUAAAAAAGCCCUUCAAGGUAAACUAUGCAUAGUUUAAAUAUCUUACCCUUCAAGGCUCAUCUGUGCUAUGGAGUAAAAUUCUUGCUUUAUGGAAAUGGAAUUAUGCAAACGUGAUAACCUAAACAAAGAUGCACUUUUUGCUAUUUGCUCUGAAAUUCCAUCCUUUUCCUGUUUCUCUGAGUUGCAUUGAUUUAAAGAGUUAAUUUCCUGUGUAUUUUUAAAAGAAAAUAUUAAAAAUCAAUGGUCUUGCAUGCCCAAAAAUGUGUGUGAAUGGAUGAUUGUGUUUUCUAAUAAUCUAGGUAGUCAAUUGAGAACCUGGUAAGUACUACAUCUUUCCUGAAAAUCAUUUGGCUCAGCUUUUGAACAGAAUCUCCUAAGGGCUUUGCUAGAGAGGAAGGUAAAUCUCAUUUUAGGCUGAGAUUGAAAUGGAGGAUAUGUCACUCUGGAAAAAAGUCCAUAUAUAUAUCUUUUUGUUUGCCUGAUGUUUGCUCAGCUAGGGUCCCACCUAAUGGGCAAUCAACAAAACAAGCCGAGGGAAAUUCUAACAGCACAAAAGGCUUGAGUAGGAAGAUGGUCAGAGAGGAUCAGAUAAUUAACCCCAAGAAGUUGGGUUCAGUGCCUUUAUUGGGGGGAUUACAGAGAUAAAAUAAGGUCAUUUCUCUCGUAUAGAGGAAGACGGAAGGGUCAAGAACUUAGAAACAUGGAGAGGGAAGAGAACAAGAAAGGACAUGGUGCUACUCUUCAUUUUCUGCUGUGUGACAAAGGUCAAAAUGAUGGCACUUCUGGACUUUGAAGAGAUGAUCUUUCUUUAUUGGGAUUAAGUUCCCAAAGUCGUAUUCACUGAACUUCCUAAAAGUAGCAAAGGACAUUUCAGAAUGAACUUCUAAAGCACAAGGGUCCUUGACUCCAUGCUGGAAGUUUCCCAGCUGAACUAAGCAGUAAAGAACUACUCUGGAUAAUUCAUUUGACCAAAACUGAAUUAAGCAAUAUGGAUUAUUUACAGACAGCCUGUAGGGUUGUAACCUCUCAGAAUGUCAAAAGACAUUCAUUACACAUAAAAAUAAGACUUCUAUAUUCUCAACCAAAUAUACCAAGAAUAUCUAUUCAAUAAUAUCUAUAAAUCUAAAUUCAGAGAAUAUGGUAAUGAUUUUUUUCUUAUGUAUUAUACCUAUUUUACCUACAAUGUCAUAGGAAUUGGGGUUUUUUUUUGUGCAGUUUUAGAGAGUGCAAUCAUUUUCUUAUAAUAAAUACCUUAGUUCCUCCACAAUCCCAUGGAGUAUCCCAUGCACAUGGAACCCAAAUCCAACUGAUAUAUGAAGAAGAAUAUUUCAUUUGAUUUAAUGACCAAUUCUCAUUUUAUUUUGACCAUAGUUUCAAUUGGUCUUUAUAAAGCCUUUUUUUGAGUCCCAAUAAAAUCUGUCCAUGGAAAAACCUGCUAAUUUUUGUUCUGAGCUCUUGCAAGUUGUUUUGUGUGUGUGUGUGCGUGUGUGUGUGUGUGUGUGUGUGUAAUACAUGUAUAUAUGUAUAUACAAUACAUAUAUAUUAUAUAUAGUUUUUGUUUAUAUAUAUAAAAUCUUAAUAUUUUCUAUUUUAUAAUAUUGAGGUUAUAGUUCUAACUUGAGUUAGGAUAAAUCAAUGAGGACUAUAUGAUGCUGAGUGACCAAUUUAAAAGUUCUUGCUGAUUACAAAGACACAGAUAAAUUACUAUAUGUUAAUAGGCAUGUUUUUUAGAUGGGGAUAUGAAUUUUGUAAAUAUUGACCCAUUCUGUUUAUCACAUUUUUUUCUUGCUUUUUUCCAUAUCAUAGCCCUAUCAAAUAAAUCUUAGGAAUUAGCUACUGUGUUUGAAAAAAAAAAUUAAGUUUGGAAAUCCACAGGAUUGAAGAAAGUACUUUCUUUCAUCACAUUUGAAUGGAAAAUAAGCUUAGGAAUUUUACACAUCUUUGAAUUCUAGUGACAUCAACAGUUACAAAUCAAGUUUCUUCCCUGCCUUAUUUGGGAUGUAUGCAAACUGAGUUAAUAUAGUUCGUCAUUUUUCACUCAGGGAAAUUUUAUGACUUCAUUUUCAGAAAUGAACUCAAAUUCAAUUCUCCCUUGAUUGAGUGACUAAGACAGUGACUUCACCAUGGUAUAUUGUGGAGGAGAAAAAAAUAUCGAUGAGUCACAGAAAGUUUUGAUUAAAGCACAGAUUUUAUUCCACUUAGUGAUUCAUUUGUGACUUUUCUUUCUCUUUACUGCUUAAAGUGUCUCAUUCCCCCUCACUCAAGGCAAGGAGAACAGGGGCUGAAAAAAUAUGAAUGUCUUCUCUCUUCGCUGUAAAAAAGGCAGAGAGGUCAGGAUCGUAGAGGAGAGGUUUUCCUAAAUGGGUUCUAUCCCAGAGUUCUCAGGGUCUCCCUUUUUAAAUAAUGAAGCUAAGGUAAUUAUCAUGUGGAAAAUACCAUUUUUUUCAGAAUCUACAAGAGAUCGAUUACGGUAAAAUCAGGGACAGAAUUGGUGCUCUGCUUCUACUGAUAUUCUUGAGGUAAUUACUGAGCUUGUUUCUGUGUGCAGACCAACCCUCCAUCUUCUCUUCAUGGUGUUAUGGCAGCCUCCCUGCCUCACUGGCAACUGAGUUUGCUGAUGUUGAGGUUAUAUUUGUGGGUGCAUGUGUGGUGAUGGUGGUAAACAAUUCAUAAUAAUUUUAUUUAGAUCAGUGAACAAUUUUCUGCUAUUUUGACACGGUCUUACCAUACUUGGGAAAACAUUGUCCCGAAGUAAAUGGUCUAAUUCAUUUUUUCUAAGAGGAUCAGACCUAUUAAAUUAUAUAUAAGAUGUAGAGGUUUUUUUUUUAUUCUGAGAAAUAAGAGUUUAAAUAACUAGGAUAGGCAUAUAAUUUUCGGUUAUAUAUCACAUGAUAUGAUUAUAUGGUGGAAAUAUUGUAUUUAAGAAUGUCAGGGAGAAAUGGGCUUGGCAAGCACCAUGAGGUUCUUCUGAGGAUUUUGAAGCCGUCUUUUGCAUUAUAAAAAGGAAGAAGAUAAAAACGCCUCUUAUUGGUCCUCAGGUCAUGCUAACAAUUAGAAAACGCAAUGCAUGAAAACUCAAAAUUUUUUUCAUUCACUCAUGUAAUAAAUAUACCAAAUACCUUCUCUGUUUUCUGUGAAUGAUAUAUUGUUCUGGACUACAUAUUAAAAAGCAGAUAGACAAAGUUACCGAUAUUCUUUGAAGUUGUGUGAUUUCUUAAGAAAUCACAAAUACCUAAGAGAAAAUGUAAUUUAAAAGAAUAAGCUUUAUUUCUAUUUGUUAUAUGAUAGCAUUUCAUAAUUAUAAUCACUAAACUAAUAUCACUAAACUAAUAAAAUCUAACCAAAUAACAGCAUUUUGGGUGGCAUAAAAAAUAGCAUCUAGGAAUAGAUACAGAAAUAUGUAAAUGAACUAAACUCAACUGUAUGCUAAUUGGCCAGCACACCUCCCAUUUAACCAACAGUGAGUUAUUCCACAAGUAUCUGGAAAUCAAAUGGUGACUAUAUAGGUGUAAAUGCAUUUCUACAUUAAUUCUCCAAUAAUAGAUAAUCUCCAACAAACAGAAACUUGGAAAAUAAACAAGUAUAAGGGCAGGAAGGAUAUUUUGUUUGUGAUUUUAAUAAGUACGAUGUUUUUUGUGUUUAGAUGCUGUGGAAUUUCAUCAAUCACACAAAGUAUAACAAAAGUAAACUUUGACUAAAUUUUCCUACACACACUGAGCUUUUGGUGUCACUACAAAGAAAUUAUUCUAAGGGCAAAUAUCUACUAUGUCUGUUUUAUUAAAAAGCAUUUUUUUGUUUUUUUGCCCACAGUAACUGCAUUGUCAAUUCAAAGUAUGUCAUGUCUUUAUUCAUAUGCAUUUCCCUGUUUUGCAUAUAUCUGUAUUUAUAUAAUAUAUAUAUAUACCCAUGUAUGUAUAUUUAUUUUUUCUACAGUUUUAUAAUAAUACAACAUUUCCAUCAAGAGUAUAAAGAAAUAAUUGGGAUGCAUUAAAAUAUAUGACGAUAAGUGAAAUCAUGAUUCUUCCAUGUAAAAAUCUACACAAUAUUCAUAGAUCAUAGAACUAAAAUGGUUCUUAGAGAUGUUUUUAAUAAAAUCUAAUUUGUAGAAAUCUUCAGUUAAGCAACUGGUACACUAUCACAUGAUUGGCUAUAUCUACUUUCAAAAAAAUUGUAUAUAGUGUUUUUUAACUUUGUAUGGCAUAUAAAGCACUCACAUGUAGAAAGAAGAAAAUUUCUGAUACUGAAAUUCAAUGUUGUUUCCAAGAUGAGCUAUUACUAAAACACUGGACAACUAAUGACAAAGUCAUAGACUUCUCUUGUGUUUAUUUUUAAGUUUUAUCCUCACGGGUAUCAUAGAUUUAUAGGACUCCAUAAGUGUAUAAACUGUAUGUCCUCAUGGCGUAUUUGUUACAUUAAAAAAUGAAAUUUUACUUCAAAAUAAAUAAUACAGUUUUCAGAUAUUAAAAAAACCAGCAGUCACAGAUCACAGGCAUGAAAAUGGAAAUGUUCUUUUUGUACUUAACUCUUCCUGUAAAACUCUUCCACUUUUCAUGUUUUAAUCCACAAAACAGAAUCCAGAGAGAGCAUCCAAAUAGCACUGUCAAUGUGAAUUAUUGAAGAGUUGAUGGCAAAAAAAUGAAAAUCAUCUUACUAGGGCUGGAAUUAUUUAAGAAUUUUGUCUCUCUUGUUGCUUAUUCAUAAUUUUGACCACCUCUGUAUGACAACUUUUUGUUCUGAUGAUUUUAGUAAUUCUAACUUCUUACACAGGCUCUCCUUUGGAAAUUAGAAAAAUACUGUUGCAGGCAUCAAGGUUACUAAUAUUCAUUUCAUUCAUAUAUAUGGAGUCAUGUAAAAGUUCACUGCGAUAUCUACAUUAUGAAUAAGCAUGGUAACAAACGUGGGCCUUGGUUAAAGAUCAGGGUAAAAUUCUCUCCUUGUAGGUCCAUUAUAGAUGGACUUUUGUUUCAUGUACCUGGUACAUUAAAAUCAUUUGUAGCAGUAGGUAGUGACUAUCGGUGCUUGGAUCAUACAGAAAUUUGAAGGUAUCAUGUGGUUUUUAAAUGGCACUUGCAUGGUGACAAGAAAACUAAAAAUUGUAUUUACUCUCAAAUUGCUUAAAUAUCAAGGGCAAAUUGGUUGGCAGAUGACAUAACGAAUGUUAAUUCCAGGCCUCUCUUCUCCCUUCCAAGCCAGAAUUUUCAGUGAUUGGAGGUCUUAAGGAGGAUGGAAUAGUUCAGUCAAUAGUUAUACCCUAUCUCUAGCAGUUAGACAUGAAUGAUAUCUUAUAACAGAAGUAACUCUUUGGACGAGGAUUGUAAGAAAAUGAUCAUUUAUUCAAAUAAGUGUUGGAAAUAAUAUUUGUUUUGUUUGUGAGGAUCCCAUAGAUUUUGACACUUCUUCCUAUACUGGCUUAAGUGUAAAAUAUUGGCACUUAAAUGGUAUUCUCAUAUUAAGUCUGAAAACAUUGUCUCUUUGCUUAGACAAAUACCUUUAAAAGAGGGUAAUUAGUGACCAGUGGCUAAGAAGACCUCUGUGUUGAGAGGUUAUGCUAAGCCUCUUGAAGAUUCUCCAUGUAAACAAGACAGACCACAUCACUCAUUAUCCCUCCUUUGUUUACUUAGAAAAAGGUUCAAAGUAUUUAAUGAGAGGAUUACCCAUACUUCAACUCUAUUGAAAAAGAUUAAUUGAUAUUUUCCUGUUGGUGGUUUCACCACUUGCAUUUGGCUUCCACUCUCCUAUUGUUACUGAUGCUGUGAUCAACAGAGCAAAGUUGCUCAAAGGUUAUCCAAAUUUCACAGCUUAACGUUAUUCAAACUAAUUAUAUUUUUUCCCUGUCCCUUAGACCUUGAGUUCCAAGGACUGUUAAUUUAUCAUUCGAAGAGACUAUGUUUUAAACUUUACUUGUCUGAAUUGAAAAUUUUAUGACUAAAUUCUGGCUAUUAUUGGACGAUUUUGCUGACUAUGUUAGAGAUGAAGUACAGCACCUACUCAAAAUGGAAUAUUAAAACAUAGAGCCAAAUUUCUGUGUAAACCUAAACAUAAUGAAUUUUUUACACUAAAAUGUAUAUAGGAGAUUUUGAAAGAUAAUUUCAAUAUCUUACCGUCAUCUAGGGAGCACUAUAUAUAUAUUUUAAAAAUCCCACCAUUUCGAGAUACAAUGCUGUGAGAGAAAUCCUUACAAAUUUUCCCCCCAAAAUGUGUGUAUUAUGGACAUAUGGCUGCAUAUUUGGAUAACACCAUUUGCAUUUUUCAAACUUGCAUUUUUUUAAAGCACUAGCUUGGCUUUUGCUGUCAGAAUGGCAAACUGCUAGUGUAUUCAUCUAAAAUUCCUAGUUUAACUCUUUGUCACUUUAGCAUUUUAUGUAAUGCUAAUAUGUUCACCUUUUCUUAAAAAAGUAACCUAAUAUGUUGGAGGCAGUAAAAUAAGAAAGACUUUUCAAACCAUAAAGUUUAAUAAUAGGAGGAGUCACAUCAUCGUGUGAAAAAAAAAAGGAUAGUGUCAAAAUUUGAUCUUAGAAAAAAUGCUUCUGAAAAUUACUAGGGGAAAAGAAAGCAUGUUAAAAUGAUUUUACUUCAGAUUAAUUCCUUGGAAGGAUUUGCGGUUUUUAUGGUUUUCUAGGGUUAUUUUGCAAAAGCAGUUUUAGUUCCUGAACAUUUCAACAUAACACACUAGAAUAUAGAACCCUAAAAAAAAAUAAUGUUGAGAAAAUAAAGAUUACAAGGACCCCAGCAUUAGUAAUUUAUGAGAUCACACUUCCAAGUUUUCACUUGCUCUAAGCUUUCAAACAUACAUCCUUAAAAUUCUUAAAUUUCUUUAUACCAUCCAUAAAUUUCUUUGUGAUGUACCGUUAAACAUGAGGCAUACUGUACGCGUGGCCUGCCACAGCAUUUGAAGAUGUGCUUAUUACUUCCAUGUCCCCCAGACCCCAAGGAGCAAUUUUAUUCAAGAGAAAUCAGGUACCCACUGUAUGGCUGAAUAAUUUACCUGUCUUACAUAAUUUAUACAUACCAAAAAUUAUGUUAUCUAUAGAACGUGUUUUGACUCCUAGAUUAAAUUUAUAUAAAUUAUACUUUCAAAUCAACAUUACCAAUAAUCUUUUAUUCUCAGAUAAUCACUCUAAAGGUCUAUGUUACAUUUUCUAUAUAUGUUAAAAUACGUACUAUUUUAAAUUUUGCAAUAUUGUGCAUAUAUUUGGACAUAUUGCAGACAUAUUUGGACAUAUUGUGGACAUAUUUGGAAUAUUUCAGUUUUUCUCUUAAUUGACAUACUAUAUGGCUACUUAUAUUCCCAAGCCACUUCAAUCUGCUUCUUUCAAAUUAUGUUUUUGCAAUGUGUUUAUCUAAUUAUUACUUAUUUAUUAGUUUCAGCAGAAGUAUUUAAUUAAUUAGCAUCUGAUGUAAAAAUGAAAGUAAAUACCAGCACGUAAAUGAUGCUGCUGAAAAGGUACAAAUUUUUUUGGUCGGAACACUGGCAAAUGUAGUUAACCUUAUUGAUUUACUUGACUACAUUAAAAUAACAUAAUAAAAACUAUUUCACCACAAGACAUUAUAACCUGACCACUGUGUCUGCUAUUUCGCCUUCAGAACUUAAAUGCAUAGCCUAACAUCGAACACAUUGAUUCUUUUAAAUAGUCAUACUCUAAUAAAUAUGACAUUAUCACUCCAAGUUCAGUUGUGUUAGGUGAUUAGAGAGUAGGGAUGUAAUCAGAGGAGGUGCUUUGAAAGAUAAUCUUUAUUCUCCUCCUUUGAAACACACAGAGAGGGGGGACAGUGGAAUAGCAGUAACUGCUGAACUGGCUGUUACAUAAUCUGUGCUAAGCGAUGAAGUACUGAUACUUAAAAAGUGAUCAUCUGUCCCUUUAAAUACUGGGGAUGUCAGUACACAUAUAUUUUUAGUCGCUACUGCUUAGAUGGUUCUUCGAGCUAAUUUUUAAGAAAUUUUUAAGAGUACAUAAGAAAAAUAUCUCUAAGGAUGCUUUAUUCAAUCACUGAACACUUAUUUUCAUUAUUCAAUAUGUGGCAGACAAAAUAGCAGGAACCAGGUAAACAAAGAUGAAUUAGAGGUGAUUCUAGCUCCUAGUCUAAGGCUAAAGUACUUAUUUUAAGAUCAUUAGCACAAAUUGUUACCUAUUCACAUGGAAUUCGGAAAGAAAAUUAAGGUCAAAACAGACUGAUAGGACUAACACAAGUUCCAGUAGUUUGGCCGCCCAUGAGAUCUUCACCCGAGUUUCAACAUUAUUGCAAAGGAACAGAGAACCACAAGCCACUGUUGGAAGAUGAUAAAAUAUAAUCAUAUUCUAAUAAUAUAUUUUAAAACAAAAUGUACUUAAUCCAGCUAUUAAAAGGCAUAACUUAAACAGAAGGAACACAAGACUUAAACAAAGCAGAAGACAGCUGUCCAGAAAUUAUCAAUUGCUAAAGCACACAGAUUGUGAUUAAAUUUUAAUGCAGCUUUUAAGCAAAGAUUUCGCUUAUCAGAGAGAAAGAAUCCCACAGAAAAUAUUGUUAUUGAUUUCAUCAUUUUAGAUGUAACUGAUCCUUUAAGUAAUUUUUGUUGCUUUCAAUACUACUUUUUAAAGUGACUGCUUAUCCUGGGCAAACCAUUAGAUGGUAUGUUCAUUUAAAAUUCUAAGCCCAAUGCAUAAAUUGUUCUCCAGUGCACUCAAAGUCACAUCUGUUGAAAACAAAACACAGCAUUCAACCCUUUGAAUAAAAACAAAACAUAACUGUAGAAUAGCUGGAUAGUCAAAUCAUGUAAAUUAAAUGGCAUUGAAAAUGAUAUUUUUUAUUGAUUUUUUUUCAGGGAACUCAGUCUUUGGAAUUAAAAUAUAUUGAUUACCUUUUAUGUAACCCAAAUUAACAAUAAAGUAACUGGAUCUGCUAGAGCAUCACACUAGUUUUAGACUCAGGGAAUAGGGAAUAAGAAUACAUUUUCCUUUUUUUUUUUAACAAAUAAAAUGCAGCAUCGGCUCUCUGCAUGAAGCACAUAUAUUAUUUUAUCAAUAAAAUCAAUUAUUAAAAAUGAGAAAUCACUAUAGUCAUACCUUAUAUUCUAAGGGACCAUAAUUAUUUAGCCAUGUGUGAGAUUGUUAAGGUCAAAAAAGCACCUUUAGUUAAAAAUUUCAGAAAUAAGUAUACAUUUAGUUAUAUAAUUAGUUAUAUGCCUUCAUUUAUUAAUUCAGUAAGUAUAUACUGAAUGCUAAGUACCAGACAGCAAGCAAGGCUCCAAUAUGUAGGCACUAUGUAUAUAUGUUCUCAAAAUAAAUGAGCCUGUAUGGACUUGUGUGGAAGGAAUAAGUAUUAACUCAGUAUUUUUUUCUAAUGCAAAUUGUCAAGCAGUUUAUUAAUUACUCAAUCUGAAGUCAACCGAAAGAUCUGUAUAAUAUAGUGUCUCCUUAAAAGACUUUCAAUUUUCCUAUUUAGAAGGAUGGGACAUACCUUUUACACCAAAUGAGUUUUAAUAUAGCAAAAACAUAUGGUCUAAGUUGUAGUAACUAUCCUGCUUUGAUAUUUUUUAAAUUCACAUUUUAUUACCCUAGUUACACUUGCAGCUAUUAAAUCAGUAUUUUCUAUUGAUUGGAUUAAUAUUGGUCCGAUUGGUUAUUGGCAAUAUAGAAGAGCCAAACAGAGUAAACUAUUCCUAUGGGUCCCAAACAUCUGAAGAUAUAGAUAGAUAUAGUUAUAUAGAUACUGAUAUAGAUAUAAAUAUGAGAUAAUUGGUUGAAUUUUUCACUUUUUAACUGUGUGAUGAUUAGUCCAACUGUUAGUAAAUCAAGGAACAUUGUUUCCAUAUGCUUAUUUAUUUCCUCAUUUAACACAGGUCUAAGAAAUUAUACAAUCUUGUAUGGACAUACACAGAGCUAGAAGAUUUCAUCUUCCAGACAAACAGUAUCUGUGUCAUUUACCCCUACAGUUAGUAUUUUCUGAGUAUUUUAAGGUCAAUAAGAUGUUUUAAUUUGUUGAUGAUUAACUGAAUUCUCACUUCCAAAAAAAUCAUUUUGCUUAAUGAUUAACCUACAUUGAUCAAGUCACAUAAAGCCCUUGGACAGUCCAACACAGACCACAAUCCAAA